CUCAGAACGAACGCUGGCGGCGCGUUUUAAGCAUGCAAGUCGAACGGGAUCAUUCCUUCGGGGAUGUGAGAGUGGCGAACGGGUGAGUAACACGUAGGUGAUCUACCGCUUGGCGGGGGAUAGCCCAUGGAAACAUGGGGUAAUACCGCAUACGACCGAUCUGCUGUGGCGGGUUGGGGAAAGGCGCUUAGGCGUCACCGAGCGAUGAGCCUGCGGCUGAUUAGCUAGUUGGUAGGGUAACGGCCUACCAAGGCAACGAUCAGUAGCCGGCCUGAGAGGGUGAUCGGCCACACUGGGACUGAGAUACGGCCCAGACAACUACGGUUGGCAGCAGCUAAGAAUCUUCCGCAAUGGACGAAAGCCUGACGGAGCGACGCCGCGUGGGCGAUGAAGGCCGUGAGGUUGUAAAGCCCUUUUCUAUCGGAGGAAUAAGCCUGGGAGGGAAUGCCCGGGUGAUGACGGUACGGUAGGAAUAAGCCCCGGCCAAUUACGUGCCAGCAGCCGCGGUAACACGUAAGGGGCGAGCGUUGUUCGGAAUUAUUGGGCGUAAAGGGCACGUAGGCGGCACGGUAAGCCUGGUGUGAAAGACCGCAGCUUAACUGCGGAGACGCGCUGGGAACUGCCGAGCUUGAGUGCUGGAGGGGGAGCUGGAAUUCCAGGUGUAGGGGUGAAAUCUGUAGAUAUCUGGAAGAACACCGGUGGUGAAGACGAGCUCCUGGCCAGAUACUGACGCUGAGGUGCGAAAGCGUGGGGAGCGAACAGGAUUAGAUACCCUGGUAGUCCACGCCGUAAACGAUGUGCACUAGGUGUUGGGUUCAUUAGCGACUCAGUGCC
rnacentral:rRNA from 1 species